UUAUUUUGCUUUCCCCUCCAAAACUACGACUUUUCCACUUUAACGAGAAGCAAAUGGCGGCAGCAACCUUCAACAGUCCCGUUCGUCCCUUCGCUUCACCCAUUUCCCGCCAAAUCAACUUCCCUCGCCAACGGUCUCCGCUUCUUCGAUAUAAUUCCAUCAAAGGUUUUCGAUUAUACAGAAAUAGGUCUUUGCAUUGUGGUGUGGUUUGUGCUGUCAAUGGAGGCGGGAGAGGGUACGUAUCUUCGUGGGACGAGAAGCCAUAUGAAUAUCUUCCAAGUGGGAAAAAAGCUUACUUGGAUGAGCAAGAUGUUGUCACGUUUCUUGAUCCUCCUAAGGAGUUGAUUCCUUUGGACUCGGCUUCCUACAAUCCUGCUGCAUAUCUUUGGAAAAAAAUUGAUGAUAUUCCUCCAGAAAGGCGUUAUCGACUUCUGCGCUUGCUAGAACCAAGGCUCGUAUCAAGAGCUUGGGAGAUAGCUGGCACACGAUACGGCGAUCCCAACUUAGCCAAGAGAAGUGCGUCUACAUUGUUGUCUAAUGAUGAUGGUGUAACAUCUCUUGAAUAUUAUAAUUGCCGAACAAGUGGAGGACCAAUGCCCAUUUCUUGGAUAAACUCUUUCCAGAAGGCAAUAUUUUCUAGCACAGACGGGAACAUUUACGGACGAUUUAUUGGUGGAUCAUUUUUAACCGGACUUGCAAACUCCUUUAGUCCAUUGUACUUUGUGGUGAGACAGCUUAAGGAAGUAAUGCCAACUGAACAACCUUGUGAUCUAGCAUAUGAGUUUGGGGAUGGACUGUUUGACCUUCAAGAAUACCCAGAAGGUUUUCCAAGACCAGUCAAACAUCCAUAUCCUUUCAACGAUCAGGUGGUUGUGUACGUUCGCCAUCUGGGGCCAGGCGUUUCAGUUGGGCAAGCAUGGCAGGAAGGAAGGAAAUUACAACAGGUGCCACAAAAGUUAUGCUCCGAUAUUUUGAUGGUGAAAGAUUAUUCUGCUCGUAGAGAAAAUCAGUAACUGUUCUCGUGAAGUUAAGAGAAGGGAGAAAGGUUAUGCUGUAAUCAAUUAUACCUCGGUAGCUCAUGUUGUAAGGCGUUGAGAAAACAAGCACAGAAAGGACAGAGGGUAGGGAUCAAUAUAAAGAUCAGUUCCUGUUAGUCAAAGCCAACGGUAUACGACACCCUUCUGUUGCUCCAACAUAAAAUGAUUCAAGGAUUGAAUCAAGGCAAAUGUUACUUUCAAAGUUAAAAAUGGUUGAUGCUGGCUGGAAAUAGGUGUGAUUAUAUGAAAAUUUUACAAUGUUGCGGCAUAUCCUGUACACCGGGAUUGUUGGCUGUUAGAUCUCGGUCACUGGUCUUUGACGAAGUAUCUAACAACCAAAAGCACCAGUGUAUAGAAUGCCUCGGAGCAUACUAGAAAAUCCCGUGAUUGUACGUAUAAAUGUAGUAGGGUUGGGCAGGACAUUCGAAAGACUGGUAGAGGACAUGCAGCACAUGAAAACUUUCUACUAAAAUGAAUACAACACCAACUUCGAGGAA